UCCCUGGUGGCUCAGUGGUAAAGAAUCUGCCUGCCAAUGCAGGAGAACACGGGUUCCAUCCCUGAUCAGGGAA
rnacentral:tRNA from 1 species